AUUGAACGCUGGCGGCAUGCCUUACACAUGCAAGUCGAACGGCAGCACGGGUGCUUGCACCUGGUGGCGAGUGGCGAACGGGUGAGUAAUACAUCGGAACGUACCUUAUCGUGGGGGAUAACGCAGCGAAAGCUGUGCUAAUACCGCAUACGCCCUGAGGGGGAAAGCGGGGGAUCGAAAGACCUCGCGCGAUUAGAGCGGCCGAUGCCUGAUUAGCUUGUUGGUGGGGUAAAAGCCCACCAAGGCGACGAUCAGUAGCUGGUCUGAGAGGACGAUCAGCCACACUGGGACUGAGACACAGCCCGGACUCCUACGGGAGGCAGCAGUGGGGAAUUUUGGACAAUGGGGGCAACCCUGAUCCAGCAAUGCCGCGUGAGUGAAGAAGGCCUUCGGGUUGUAAAGCUCUUUUGUCAGGGAAGAAACACCGGCUCUAACACAGUCCGGGAAUGACGGUACCUGAAGAGUAAGCACCGGCUAACUACGUGCCAGCAGCCGCAGUAA
rnacentral:rRNA from 1 species